AUUGCACAAUGGGGGAAACCCUGAUGCAGCGACGCCGCGUGGAGGAAGAAGGUCUUCGGAUUGUAAACUCCUGUCCCAGGGGACGAUAAUGACGGUACCCUGGGAGGAAGCACCGGCUAACUACGUGCCAGCAGCCGCGGUAAUA
rnacentral:rRNA from 1 species